AUUGAACGCUGGCGGCAUGCCUUACACAUGCAAGUCGAACGGCAGCACGGGAGCUUGCUCCUGGUGGCGAGUGGCGAACGGGUGAGUAAUACAUCGGAGCGUACCCAGUAGUGGGGGAUAACGCACCGAAAGGUGCGCUAAUACCGCAUACGACCUACGGGUGAAAGCGGGGGACCGUAAGGCCUCGCGCUAUUGGAGCGGCCGAUGUCUGAUUAGCAAGUUGGCGGGGUAAUAGCCCACCAAGGCGACGAUCAGUAGUUGGUCUGAGAGGACGAUCAGCCACACUGGGACUGAGACACGGCCCAGACUCCUACGGGAGGCAGCAGUGGGGAAUUUUGGACAAUGGGGGCAACCCUGAUCCAGCAAUGCCGCGUGUGCGAAGAAGGCCUUCGGGUUGCAAAGCACUUUUGUCAGGGAAGAAAUCUUUCAGGCUAAUACCCUUGGAAGGAUGACGGUACCUGAAGAAUAAGCACCGGCUAACUACGUGCCAGCCGCCGCAGUAA
rnacentral:rRNA from 1 species